GCCUUCGUGGUGGAGUAGUCAGCACGCUCGACGUGUAAUCCAGAGGUCCGUGGUUCGAUUCUCGGAGAAGGUG
rnacentral:tRNA from 1 species